AGCUGUAACCAUACAGGAUAACCGUGGAGGACGUCACAGCAGCUGUAACCAUACAAGGUAACCGUGUGGAGGAUGUCAGCAGCUGUAACCAUACAGGAUAACCGUGUGGAGGAUGUCAGCAGCUGUAACCAUACAAGGUAACCGUGUGGAGGAUGUCAGCAGCUGUAAC